rnacentral:rRNA from 1 species
AAUGAACGCUAGCGGGAGGCUUAACACAUGCAAGUCGAGGGGCAGCAUAGGGUAGCAAUACUCUGGAUGGCGACCGGCAAACGGGUGAGUAACGCGUAUGUAACCUACCCUGUACAGGGGGAUAACCCGGAGAAAUUCGGACUAAUAUCCCAUAACAAUAUCCGGGGGCAUCUUUGGAUAUUUAAAGUUCCGGCGGUACGGGAUGGGCAUGCGUAACAUUAGCUAGUUGGUAAGGUAACGGCUUACCAAGGCUUUGAUGUUUAGGGGUCCUGAGAGGGUGGUCCCCCACACUGGUACUGAGACACGGACCAGACUCCUACGGGAGGCAGCAGUGAGGAAUAUUGGUCAAUGGGCGCAAGCCUGAACCAGCCAUCCCGCGUGCAGGAAGACGGCGCUAUGCGUUGUAAACUGCUUUUCCAGGGAGAGAAACUUGCGCACGUGUUGCGCAAUUGACGGUACCCUGGGAAUAAGCAUCGGCUAACUCCGUG